rnacentral:rRNA from 1 species
GGUUCAGGAUGAACGCUGGCGGCGUGCCUAACACAUGCAAGUCGAGCGGGAAUCAUCUGAUUGAAACUUCGGUAGAUAGAGGAUGAGGAUAGCGGCGGACGGGUGAGUAACGCGUAGGUAACCUGCCCCUUACACAGGGAUAGCCUCGGGAAACUGGGAUUAAUACCUGAUAACGCGGUGAAGUCACAUGGCUUUACCGCCAAAGAUUUAUCGGUGAGGGAUGGACCUGCGUCUGAUUAGCUGGUUGGUGAGGUAACGGCCCACCAAGGCAACGAUCAGUAGCCGACCUGAGAGGGUAAUCGGCCACAUUGGAACUGAGACACGGUCCAAACUCCUACGGGAGGCAGCAGUGGGGAAUAUUGCACAAUGGGCGCAAGCCUGAUGCAGCAACGCCGCGUGAGCGAAGAAGGUCUUCGGAUCGUAAAGCUCUGUCCUCAGGAACGAAGAAGUGACGGUACCUGAGGAGGAAGCCCCGGCUAACUACGUGCCAGCCGCCGC